rnacentral:misc_RNA from 1 species
UCGUAACAAGGUUUCCGUAGGUGAACCUGCGGAAGGAUCAUUACAGAAUGAAAAGUGCUUAACUGCAUUUUUUCUUACACAUGUGUUUUUCUUUUUUUGAAAACUUUGCUUUGAUAGGCCUUCUAUAUGGGGCCUGCCAGAGAUUAAACUCAACCAAAUUUUAUUUAAUGUCAACCGAUUAUUUAAUAGUCAAAACUUUCAACAACGGAUCUCUUGGUUCUCGCAUCGAUGAAGAACGCAGCGAAAUGCGAUAAGUAAUAUGAAUUGCAGAUAUUCGUGAAUCAUCGAAUCUUUGAACGCACAUUGCGCCCUUUGGUAUUCCAAAGGGCAUGCCUGUUUGAGCGUCAUUUCUCCCUCAAACCCUCGGGUUUGGUGUUGAGCGAUACGCUGGGUUUGCUUGAAAGAAAGGCGGAGUAUAAACUAAUGGAUAGGUUUUUUCCACUCAUUGGUACAAACUCCAAAACUUCUUCCAAAUUCGACCUCAAAUCAGGUAGGACUACCCGCUGAACUUAAGCAUAUC